rnacentral:sRNA from 1 species
AGUGAACUUCGUUUACAGUGGAAAUCUUUUUAUUUUUUUCCUUUAAAAAAAUAAAAGAUUGAAACGAAAAGCGGGACAAUAU